rnacentral:rRNA from 1 species
UACGUAGGUGACAAGCGUUGUCCGGAUUUACUGGGCGUAAAGAGCGCGCAGGCGGUCGUUCAAGUCGAGUGUGAAAGCCCCCGGCUCAACUGGGGAGGGUCACUCGAUACUGAUCGACUCGAAGGCAGGAGAGGGUAGUGGAAUUCCCGGUGUAGUGGUGAAAUGCGUAGAUAUCCGGAGGAAUACCAAAGGCGAAGGCAGUGUCCUGGCUGGCAACUGACGCUGAGGCGCGAAAGCUAGGGGAGCGAACAGG